rnacentral:rRNA from 1 species
ACGUAGGGGGCGAGCGUUGUCCGGAAUGACUGGGCGUAAAGGGCGCGUAGACGGCUGUCUAAGUCUGGAGUGAAAGUCCUGCUUUCAAGGUGGGAAUUGCUUUGGAGACUGGAUGGCUUGAGUGCGGAAGAGGUAAGUGGAAUUCCCAGUGUAGCUGUGAAAUGCCUAGAGCUUGGGAGGAUCCCCAGUGGCGAAGGCGACUUACUGGGCCGUAACUGACUUUGAUGCGCGUAAGCGUGUUGAGCUAACAG